CAACUUAAAAUUACAUUUCACUCUCAGUCAUCGCGUCGAUUGGAGCCUUUAAUCUUUAUUCCACUUCUCAUAGCAAAAGUGUUUUAUUUCGGAAAAUGAAUUCUAAAUUUUUUGGUUUUGUCUUUUUCAUUUUCUUCUUUGUUUCCGCUACACUGAAUUACGUUUCCGCGAUUGGUGGUCAAGGUGAAAGUUGCUUCAGACGGGGUACUCCUGUUGGCCAUACUACAUGCGAUAAUUGGUGUGCUGAUCGAGCAUCAAUUGGGUCCUGUAACGGUGGGUUGGCGUGUUGUGUUACUCCUGACUAAAUAAAUUUAGUGAUCUGGUUCUAAUAAAAGAACAACUUUUCACCAAUGUGACU